rnacentral:rRNA from 1 species
AUGGUGCUCGUCGGCACAGAAGCCAUGGAGAUCAGAUCGGCAACUGCCGAUCGAUUUCACGGAAGCAGUUACCAAGAAGAGAACGAACAAUGCGUCCGUGGCUAUCGUCCAUGGCAGCAAGGUAUGACGGCCACAGCGGCCUCCUACGGCCUCAACCCCAUCCCUCCUCCUCCCGGCGACGUGCCGCAUCAGCGGCAGCGGUGCAGCGCCCACCACCACGGUGUUGCGCCUCGCGCCCUCGCCCCAGCCAUGGCGGGCAGCGCCCUCCCAUGCUCCGGCUCGACGCACGACACGUGGCCUGCACGCUGUUGCAGCCACGGCUAUCCCGUAGCUGGCGGCGUCGCCUUAGCCCGUCUGGAUCGAGGUGGACUCUCACAACGAGGCCUCCCCUCUGGACAGGCGGCAGCGCCCGCAUCACGGCCACGGGCGUCGCCUUCGCGUGACCCGUUCUUCCGGUUGCACAACUUCCGACGACAGCGUCCUCGUCUGCUCUCGGCAACGGCGCGGCCAUCCAAAGCGUGCCGCCUAUGGUGCUGGAUGCGGCGAAGGACGGCCCGGCGCGGAGAGCCCCUCCCGCAGCGGCAGCGUGGCUCGCCCUCCUAUGCCGGCGACUCGACGUCGUUCCCACACAACGGUGGUGUAACCACGCAUAGAGAGGGCCGAUGGAGGCUUAUCUCUUUGUUGUUUUUCAGUUCUACCAUCGAGGUUUUACUGAUUCACGGAUUAGGACAUGUUCAAUGUAUUUGCGCUCUAGCAAUUCCUACAACAUGUUCUUUACCGGCACAACAACAUUGUUUUGUGAUUGAGAUUAAAUUUUCUCGCAUAACAAUAUUGAUUUUGUGA